rnacentral:rRNA from 1 species
UACGGAGGGCGCAAGCGUUGUUCGGAAUUACUGGGCGUAAAGCGCGUGUAGGCGGUCUGGUAAGUCGGUUGUGAAAUCCCCGGGCUCAACCCGGGAACUGCAUCCGAAACUGCUGGGCUAGAGUUCCGGAGAGGAAGGCAGAAUUCCCAAUGUAGGGGUGAAAUCCGUAGAUAUUGGGAGGAAUACCAGUGGCGAAGGCGGCCUUCUGGACGGUGACUGACGCUGAGAAGCGAAAGCGUGGGGAGCAAACAGG